CCUACGGGAGGCUGCAGUGGGGAAUAUUGGACAAUGGGGGAAACCCUGAUCCAGCGACGCCGCGUGUGUGAAGAAGUCUUUCGGUACGUAAAGCUCUAUCAGCAGGAAAGAAAAUGACGGUACCUGACUAAGAAGCCCCGGCUAACUACGUGCCAGCAGCCGCGGUAAUACGGAGGGGGCAAGCGUUAUCCGGAUUUACGGGGUGUAAAGGGAGCGUAGACGGCAGCGCAAGUCUGGAGUGAAAUGCCGGGGCCUAACCCCGGAAUUGCUCUGGAAACUGGGAAGCUGGAGUGCAGGAGAGGGAAGCAGAAUUCCUGGUGUAGCGGUGAAAUGCGUAGAGAUGAGGAGGAAUACCGGUGGCGAAGGCGGCCUACUGGAC
rnacentral:rRNA from 1 species